rnacentral:rRNA from 1 species
CCUACGGGAGGCAGCAGUGGGGGAUAUUGCGCAAUGGAGGAAACUCUGAUGCAGCGACGCCGCGUGACGGAAGACGGUCUUCGGAUUGUAAACCUCUGUCUUUGGGGAAGAAAAUGACGGUACCCAAAGAGGAAGCUCCGGCUAACUACGUGCCAGCAGCCGCGGUAAUACGUAGGGAGAGAGCGUUGUCCGGAAUUACUGGGUGAAAAGGGAGCGUAGGCGGGCGAGAAAGUUGAAUGUUAAAUCUAGCGGCUUAACUGGUAGCUGCGUUCAAAACUUCUUGUCUUGAGUGAAGUAGAGGCAGGCGGAAUUCCUAGUGUAGCGGUGAAAUGCGUAGAUAUUAGGAGGAACACCAGUGGCGAAGGCGGCCUGCUGGGCUUUAACUGACGCUGAGGCUCGAAAGCGUGGGGAGCAAACAGGAUUAGAUACCCUAGUAGUC